GGUGGCCCUCAGCGGCGGCGGUGGCCCUCAGUGGCGGCGGCGGUGGCCCUCAGCGGCGGCGGCCCACAGCACCACCAUCACAGGUUCAAGUCCUGGCUGUUGAUUUUUUUAAGGUUUUUUUGUCUCGUCUGAGAUUCAACAGGGAAGCAGGUUGAGAGACGAGACUCGAGCCGUAAUGCAUCGCUGGGCAGACCGACAGGUCAAAGGUCAUCCAUCAGCUAAACCACAGAGAUGGUGACUGACUUAGCAGAACCGCACCUGAUAAAGCGGAACCGGGUUAGAACCGGGUCAGCCUCACGAUGUCAGCAGCAGCAUCAGCUGUAAGGCACGGCGGUGGAGGGGUGAUGGGACAGAGCCUGCAGAUAUGGAACUGUGUCCCUCUGUCGUUUGGUGAUGGACUGGAGACGUCCAGAGACGGUCCCACACCUGGAGACGGUCCCACACCUGGAGACGGUCCCUGUUGAAGGAGGAUGGGGAACCGACACACGAUGACACCCAGAAUGAUGACGUCUUCAGAACCCAAGCCUUCUCUGGAUCUUUUCUGGGUCAGAACCAGGACCUUCAAUGUGACAGAAAGUUCACCCAAGUCUUAAAAAAGAGGAACAUUUUAUAACAAUAAUUUUCUCAAAAACGGCCACCAUCUUGAAAAAUGUCCAGUGGCUGAUGGGAAAUAUGAAAAACAUCCACGCUAGCAUGCUAAAGGGGUUAGCAUGCUAAUGUUUAUGUUUUUACAGCAAUCUGCUGCUGCCAAAGGUUUCCCAGUUUACAGCAGCGGUUCUGUCAGGUCAAAGGUCACCAGUGGGUGACUUGGAGGAGCAGAUCUCUGCGGGUCACACCCCGGUGACAAAUACCAGAACCGAGCACAAAGCCGAGCUGAGUCAGCGACCCUAAACCGGACAAAGGUCAUGAUGACGCUGAACCAGCAACAUCUUCUCUCUAUAAACAAGAUGGCCGCCGGACGCAGGAGACAAGAUGGAGGGAAGCAGACACAUCGGCUGUUACCUGCUGGGAAGCACGGCGGCGGAGGGAUGAUGCUGUGGGCCGCAGCCACAUGGUGCUGCAGAACCAUUCAAGUUUGAAAGUUUGGAGCUGAACUUCCUCAGCAGCAUUUAAACGACCGGACCCCGGAUCAGAACCAGAUCGUCCUCAGGACGGGGCUGUGAACCCGGCCGCCCCGUUGGUUCCGGUCCAAAUUCAGCGACUCGUCUCGUUCUCUCUGUGGUGCAGCUGCAGCCGACGUGUUGCUGCUAUGGAAACAUUUUAUUAUUAAUGUCACAAACUUUCAUCCACAGGAAGUCGGGUUUACAUUUGAACCUUUAUUACGUAAAAACACAGAAAUAGAUGCUAGAUGUUCUCUGAUGGACCGAGCCAAAACCAGAGGUUCUGCAGAACGGCUGGGUCCAGUUGGGAAGUGCAGACUGAAUGGAACACUGUGCUACUACGCCCCCUGCUGGACGGACCUAUGAAACACCUGGGAACCGGAUCUAAAUGAGGCCUCAGAGGUUCUGGACCGCUGAUCAGAACCAGGCAGAACCAGGACAUGGUUCUAUGCAGUAACCCGUGAAUUCCAACAGAACUAACAGCGGCUCUGGCCCAGAUUCGGUUCUGUGAGCCAGAAACCUGCAGCAGAGAACCAAACGGAGCGGAUCCUGGUCAUGAGCCACAGCUCUGCAUUUUAUUUAAGGAACAGGAAGUGACGGACAGAAGCCGCCGAUCCUUCAGGCUCUGCUGCUGGACCCACAGCCUGCAGGGGGCGCUUCAGGAGCAGGGUGGAGCGGGAGGAAGACCAGCCUGCAGUCCUGAGAAGAAGAACAGACCGGAAGCAGCAGUUCUUACAGGUCGGAACAUCUCUGCCGUCCGGACCGGAACCGGGUUCUCCUCUCGGGUCCGGCCGCUGGUUCCGGACAUCUGGACCCAAACCG